rnacentral:rRNA from 1 species
UACGUAGGGCGCGAGCGUUGUCCGGAAUUAUUGGGCGUAAAGAGCUCGUAGGCGGCCUGUUGCGUCCGCUGUGAAAUCCCGGGGCUUAACCCCGGGCAUGCAGUGGAUACGGGCUGGCUGGAGGCAGGCAGGGGAGAACGGAAUUCCCGGUGUAGCGGUGAAAUGCGCAGAUAUCGGGAGGAACACCGGUGGCGAAGGCGGUUCUCUGGGCCUUACCUGACGCUGAGGAGCGAAAGCGUGGGGAGCGAACAGG